rnacentral:rRNA from 1 species
CGACGUGGGUAACCUGCCUCAUACAGGGGGAUAACAGUUGGAAACGGCUGCUAAUACCGCAUAAUGCAUAUCUUUCGCAUGUUAGAUAUGCCAAAGGAGCAAUCCGCCUUUAGAUGAGCUCGCGUCUGAUUAGCUAGUUGACGGGGUAACGGCCCACCAAGGCGACGAUCAGUAGCCGGACUGAGAGGUUGAACGGCCACAUUGGGACUGAGACACGGCCCAG